UGGUGAGUAACACGUGGAUAACCUACCUAUAAGACUGGGAUAACUUCGGGAAACCGGAGCUAAUACCGGAUAAUAUUUUGAACCGCAUGGUUCAAAAGUGAAAGACGGUCUUGCUGUCACUUAUAGAUGGAUCCGCGCUGCAUUAGCUAGUUGGUAAGGUAACGGCUUACCAAGGCAACGAUGCAUAGCCGACCUGAGAGGGUGAUCGGCCACACUGGAACUUAGACACGGUCCAG
rnacentral:rRNA from 1 species